rnacentral:lncRNA from 1 species
UUGGCCUAAGGAAAUAUUGGACAAUACAAUUACUAACAACAUUAACAAGAAAAAUAAACAAUAUAUGCAAUUUUAUUAGAUUAUGUAAGAUAAUUUCUAAUCAAUAUUAUUUACUAUAGUUAGUUAUUUAGUAUUUUAGAAUGUAUAGAAAAUUAUCAUUCGUUAAUGAAAUUUUCAGAUUAUUUAAGUUGGAUUAAUAAAAUAACAUAUAACUAUAUUUUAAGAAAAUUAAAUCAAUAUCGUGAAAUUAAAAUAAAAUUAUUAUUGUAAUACUCAAUUGUUGCCCGGGCCCCAAAAUUAACCAAUCAAACCCAAUAAAACUUAGGCCAAUCCUGACCCAAUUACAUUUGGCCCAACAAGGCCCAAGUGUGCAAACCCUAGCAAUGCCCUAAACAACAGUUGACAGCAAUCACCCCACGCCGCAGCAACCGUUCUACUGCGCACGUCGCCCCGCACAACGCACGUACCUGCAAACCACGAAUAGCACUAAGAGGAUAUACAUAGCAAAAUUGUAAAAAGGGGGGGAUUUCGGUUGUAUAAAAGGGGAGUCGAUUGAUGUAAAAAGGGUUAGCAAAUUUUUGUAUUGGAAAAAAAUUAAAAAGGAAAAUACAAGGGAGAAAAACAUUUUUUUUGAAGGUGACAAAUUUUGGCUUUGUUUCUUCUGUUCUUUUUACUGUUUUUAUUUUAUUUUGUUUGUUUUUCUUAUGUUACUUAAAACAAAAAAAAUAAACGAAGAAAGGAAGGAAAUGAAGACUUAUGGUUGAAAAAGUCGUUGGGCGUCCUCUUUUCGCCGUUAUCUGGUCGGAAAAGGGAGGACACUGGAAUGGCAGAGGGAGUGCAACAGCGUGAUUGAAAAAUGGCAGAGGAGAGUUUUUUUUAGGGAUUGAAAUGGGUUUUAUUGGCUGCAAAUGAAAUGGGGUUUUAUUUAUGGGUUAUUUAUGUUUUUAAUCCUUUUUAUUUUUCCAUCAUUUCAAAACUUUUUUUUUGUUUUCGAAUUUUUCCAUGAAAUAUCGAAUCUGUUUUAUUUUAGUCCAGUGCUGUGCAGUGUUUUUGGGUAAUUUUCUCCUUCGGCCCUUCCCCUGUUACGUGUGUUUUAAACUACUCCCUUUCUUGUUUUGAUUUUCAAAUUCAGCUAUCAAAUUCUGUUUGUUUUUUAACUUAAUCCUUAAUUUGUUAUUUUUAGUUUUUUUAUUAUAUUGUUAAUACUGUUUAUUUAUAUUAUUAUUAGUUUAAUAUUAUUAUAUUAUUAUAUUAUAUAUUAUUAUUAUAUUUACUUAUAUGCGCAUAUGCAUAUUAAUAUAUAUAUAUUUUAAAAAAGGCAUCUUAAAUAUAUAUUCUAUAUACAUAUCAUAUAUUUUAUUAUUACUUUAGUUUUCUUAGCUUUAUGUACAUAUGUAUGCGUAUAUAUUCGUAUUUUAUAAUAUUUAUAUAUUUUCUAUAUCUUAUAAUCCAAAUAUAUAUUUUUUAAUAUGUAUGCAUAUAUACCUACAUUAUUCGGCACUUUUAUAAAUAUAUCUUUCAAAUCUCCUUUAUAUAUACAUAUAUGUCCAUAUUUUUUAUAAUUACUAAUAUAUUAUGCUUUUAUUUUUUUGUAUAAACUUUUUUUUUGAUUAUGUUAUUUUUAUUAUUUUUGUAUACAUGUAUAUAUAUGCAUCAAUAUCUUAUCAUACUUUAAAAAAAUAAAUAUAUUUUGAUUUCGUCAAAAUAUUGAAACCAUUUUUUUUAUGUUUUUCCAAAGGCUUUCAAAAUAAAAACGAUAUUCAAAGUUAGGGAUUUUCGAGGAAAAUUGAACGUAUUGGGUUCUGAUUUUCUUUGUUAAUUCCAAAUAACCGAGAAUAUUCGUUAUUUAAAAUGCAUAAGUAUAAUAAUCAUUUUCGGAAACUUAAUUUGUGAUGUCCUAACGUAUUGGGCAUGACAUAUUGCCUUCUCGAAAUGAAGAUUUUCUUUAAAAAUAAAAGAGCGAUAUUCGAAGUUCGGGGGUUUUGAGAAAUUGUACCCUAACGUAUUGGGUUUCUAUUUCUUUAUCUAACUUGAACAUUUGAUUAUCCUCUUCAGAUUUCAUCAUUUGAGUUUUUUAAAAAAAAUCUUUUUAACCCUCGACACUAAGACAUUAUAUAAUCAAUUUGGUACCGAUUUUUGGGCGUUAUGAGAGGGCUAACCAUUCCUCGUGUGUAACUGACUCCCGAACCUAUUUUCUCAAAUUUCGCAGACCAAAAUUGUUUUUAAGGUGAGCCGAUCACGCCUCAAUCAAGGAUCGAUAGCGACUCCAAUUUUUGUUUUUUUUAAGUCGACAACUAGAUUUUUUGUUUUCAAAAAAAUGGUUUCGACAGCUUGCCGACUCCACUGGGGAGCUUCAAGAGUCGAGCCAUAAAUUGAUUAUUUGGUGUUUUUUUGUCGACAAUCGAAGUUUUUUUAAAAAUCAUAAUUUCCCUUUGCAUUCAUUGAUUUUCAUUGUUUGCUUGAUUGGUUUAAGUCUAUUAGCUUAUUUGCACUUUUGCAUCUCAUAACGUCGGUCAUUUUUACCCAUUUAGGUGGGAGUGAGAAACUAGUCCUUCGUGAGGUUUUCACCUCCGUAUAGGAUAGUGGAUCGCUUUCGGGAUACAUCCGUACCUAUGCCUCUGUGAGACCUACGUCUCCGCAUAGUCAUAGGGAAAUGUAUUCCCCUAAAUCAAACUCGGUCUAUAUGAGCCUAUAAUGGGUGAGGAUCGAGGAAUCUGCUGGUCCGGGUACCCUUUCCCUAGAAACCAAAUCACAUAUAGUGAACCAUAGGAACUCACCCUAGGUAGAAUUACUCUUAACCUUAGUAGAUGCCUAAUUAGGAGUUUUUACUAUUUCUUGGUUGUAUUAUAUUUAAUUGUUACUCACUUUUUUAUGUUGUACUUUGAUUGCAAGGCAUUACCUUCACAUGGCAUUUCAUUUUAAAAGGCGUUGGUUCGUAUUCGAUUGCUAGAUAGAAAGCUUAUCAUGGGAAAUGGGUUUCUUGAUAGAGUGGAGGAUAAUGCGGCUGUCCGAACUUGGGUUGAAAUCACACAGCGCGAAAAAGGUGAUAGCUUAGCCGAGGGGUACAUACCAGAAUUAUAGGACUUCACUCGUGUCAGCAUAACCUAGAACAACUUGCAGGAGUUGAAAGAGAUUUGGAAUCAGUGGAAUAAUGAGGUUAAAUGGUUAUUCUAUUCAAAUUAUGGGGAUUUGCCUUAUUUACUUGAUAUGAAGGUGGAUAAGCGUCUCUUUCGAGCACGAGCACAAUUUUGGAACCCCGUUUAUAGUUGCUUCACAUUUGGGAGGGUUGACUUGGUGCCUACAAUAGAGGAAUACACGGCUUUACUUCAGUGUUUGAGGAUUCAAGUGGACAAGGUUUACUCGAAAGCUGUAAAUGCACCGAUAUUUUUGAAGAGGUUAGUGAGUAUAAUCGGGAUGAGUGAGCAGUGGGUUACAGCUCAGAUCAAGCAAAAGGGGGAUAACAAGUGCAAUCCUUGGAAAGAUUUGAAGGACCUCAUUCCGGAGCACCCAGACACGAAAAAGAAGGUAGAUAUCUUUACUUUAAGUAUAUAUGGUUUGGUUGUAUUCCCUAGGGCUUUGGGGCAUGUUGAUGAGGCGGUCACUGACUUAUUUGAUCGGCUUGAUAAGAGAGUUACACCAGUCUCGGCAAUUUUGGCAGAAACCUUCCGGUCAUUGAAUGCGUGCUGGAGAGCGGGAGAAGGUAGAUUCAUUGGAUGUGCACAACUCUUACUUGCAUGGUUCUAUAGUCACUUUUAGAAGGUCGAUAAGGUUUCGUAUCAGGUCUUCUCUGACAAUUAUUCACCAUUGAAAGAAAUAGUGGCUACAAUGAGGAGGUAUGGCAUCUCGGAAGAGAAAUGGAUGGCUAUUUUUUAGAAUUUGCAGGAGGGGGAUAUCGAGUGGAGAGCUCCGUGGUUGCUUCCAGACGAGAUCCUAUAUCGAUGUGGGGAUUUUGAUUGGGUUCCUUUGAUUGGGAUUUGGGGAGCCGUUAGUUAUGCACCAUUGCUAGUACUAAGGUAAUACAAGUCAAGAUAGUUCGUGCCUGCAACUCAGGGAUUGGCCGAGUGUGAGUUCUCGUAUAGGGGCGAUGGUUACAAGAGGAGAGUUCGUGAGAUGGUCAGUGUAUGGAAUCAGACUCGCCGAAUGAAGGGAUUAGCUGUGGGUCCGAUGACAACUCCCAAGUAUGGCGAAUGGUGGGCUAAGAGGAUUAACGAUAACAUUCCAGGGCCGGGUUCAGAAAAUUGUCAGUCAAUAGAAGAGUAUUUACAGGUUGUCCCUACUGAGCUGGAAAUCAUAAAGCAAGACUUUGAAAGGAAAAAUGCAGAACUAGAGAAGAAAAUAGAGCAAAUAGAGGAAGAAAAGAUGAAUUUGAGACUGGAUGCGGAUGUUCAGAAGCUCGAGGCUGAUAAGCUAAGGAAAGGAAAGAAUAAGGCUGAAGAAGAAUUAGAUAGCUUGAAGAAGGAUUAUAAGAAGCUGCGUCUGUCGAUGAGAACUGUAGGGCUUAGAAAAACUUCAGAGUAAUGGCGUGAAGAAAUUCGAGAAGAAAGAAACAGGUCAGACCGGUGGGAAAGAAAAUUCCAAGAGAUUCAAGCAUGAAAUGAAGCAUUAGAAAAGAGUUUUUCAGAGAGUCAAAAGGAAAAAUGAGAACUAAAAGACAGAGUAGUUGAGUUAGAAGGGUCUCUCCGUCAGCACAUAAGUCAAAAUUCUGUAAUAGAGUUGAAAGCAAGUCUGAGCAAGAUUAAAGAAAUGAAGGGUAAAAUAGAAGAGUUGGAAGCAACAUUACAAAGUUGUGAGGUUCAGAUCGAGCAUCUAGAGGCAAAGGAAGGUCGUCAGAAUGAGCAACUUCAUUAUUUCCAGGAUCAAGUCAGAAAUAGGGAUCACGUUAUGGGUGAAGCUGUGGUGCAGAUUCGAGAAGUGGCAGAUCACUUGCAAACGUUGGCGGUACAAGCCGACACGUUGAGCAUAAAGUACGAGCUAGAGUCAGAUCGAGGACAAGAGUUAGCAUUGUUACUUAAAAAGAUCAAGGUCUUCAGUAUUAGGGCAAAGCCAUAUUUAUAGCCCAUUCUAUGUAAAGAGAUUUAUUUUCUAAUAAAGUUUUUUUGAAAGUAAUUGAAAUUAGAAUUAACGCCUUUUCUGCAUUCAUUUUUCAUACAUCACAUUGCAUGCAUUAAAAAUUAUCAAAGGGUUCUGAUUAAAUCAAAAUCAUUCCUUAGUUAACUUGGAAUCUAACCAGCCAACUCAGCACCGUUACGGUACACGAGCGAAAUCAAGAAGUAUGGAUCAAAGAUUAGAAAAGCUUGAGCAAUUCCAGAAAGAAAUGCAGGAUCAACUUCAGCAGCAAAUGCAAGAGCAGCUCGAGAAGAUUCAGCAGAAAAUGAUAGAUAAAAUGGUGGAAUCCCAAUGAAGUAUGAUGACCCAGUUAACUCAAUUCUUGACUGGUGGAAAGGAUAAAGGAAAGAGCUUCAGGGCCAAUGUUGAAGAGGAAGGUGAUGACGGACUCCUAUAUCCUCCCGGCUUCACUCCUCUAUAUGUGCCGCCCCAAGCGAAAGUGUACCCGCGUAAAUCUUCUGUUAUGAUUAGGCCUCAGCAAUUUCAAGCUGAUGCUUCAAGGUCGAUGAAUUUCCAAGUCGGAUCAGGCUCCAGUCCUGAGAAUAAUCCUGCCAAUCCUAUUGUUCCUGAUUUCGAUGAAGCAGUUGAAAAAGAGAAAACAAAAGAGGAAUUAUCAUAGCAAUUGGAAGGAAGAUAGAAGUGGAUUGAGGAGAAAUUCAAAGCGGUGGAAACUACUGAAAGAUACCACGGGAUUGAUGCUAAGGAUUUAAGUUUGGUACCAGAUUUAGUGCUCCCUUACAAGUUUAAAAUGCCAGAUUUCGAGAAGUAUAAUGGAACCACUUGCCCUGAAGCCUACAUUACUAUGUUUUGUAGGCGAAUGACUGGGUAUGUUAAUAAUGACCAGUUAUUGAUACACUGUUUUCAGGAUAGCCUCAUGGGGGCAGUGUCUAAAUGGUAUAAUCAUUUAAGCCAUGCUAGGAUCAGCUCUUGGAGGGAUUUAGCACAGGUUUUUAUGAAAUAGUACAGUCAUGUGGUGGAAAUGGUACCUGAUAGGAUUACUUUGCAGAACAUGGAGAAAAAGUCGAAUGAAGGUUUUAGAUAGUACGCUCAGAGGUGGAGAGAGGUGACAGUGUAGGUCCAACCACCUCUCCUUGAAAGAGAAAUGACGAUGCUCUUUGUAAAUAUGCUGAAGGCCCCCUUCAUCACACACAUGUUAGGCAGUGCCACGAAAAAUUUUGCUGACAUAGUCAUGAGUGGUGAGAUGAUUGAAAGUGCUGUAAAGAGUGGGAAGAUUGAUGUUGAAGAGAACAACAGAAGGAAAAACUCAAAGAAAAAGAAAGUGAGGUGAACAACGUGAAUACAUACAAGUCAAUUACGGUGAAUCAGCCCAGGAAGGUAGUGGCAGGUCAACAGGGUUCAUCUAAGCAGGAAUCUGGUGUGAGGCCAAAUACUGAGAGGCCCCAGUUCACACCCAUCCCUAUGUCAUACAAAGAGUUGUAUCAGAAUUUAUUUAACGCACACGUUGUUGCCCCAUUUUAUUUGACUCCUUCAGAGCCUCCAUAUCCUAAAUGGUAUGACGCGAAUGCACAAUGCGAUUACCAUGCAAGAGUUACGGGGCACUCCAUAGAGCAUUGUACUACUUUUAAAAAGCUUGUUGAGAAGCUUAUUAAGAUGUGCAUUGUCAAGGUAGAUGAUUAAUUAGGUACGGAAAAUCCAUUACCCAAUCAUGCUGAUGCUGGGGUAAACAUGGUGGGUGAAGGUACGGGGAAGAAGGUCAAGGAGAAUAUUGCUGAAGUAAAGAUCCCUUUGAAAAGGGUUUGGAAAGAAAUGGUAGGAAGAGGGUUAAUUGUUUUAAAUUUAGUGGGGGUGGCAAGACCCAUAGUUAUUGUGAGUUCCAUCAUGAGGUGGGACACGAAAUUCAGAGAUGUGAGGAAUUUAGAGCUCUGGUUCAGAGCUUGAUGGAUAAAAGAGAAGUAGAGUUUUUUGAAGAGGUGGAAAGAAAAGGAAGUGUAUGUGCGUCAGAGUCAGCGACGAGGAUUCCGAGGGUGAAUCAUCCUGUGAUCAUCAUCUCGAACCCUAGGGUUAAUGAGGUUAGGGCACAGGUGAUGCCGAAGAUUGUAAUUCAGAAGCCGACAAAGUUUUUAUACAAGGAUAGUAUGAACGUCCCCUGGAAUUAUGAGUGCGAUGUAAAAGUCUCAGUAAAAGAAGCUUUAGUCAGUGUUCCAAAAGAAAACCAAAAGACAGGUUCUUAUGCAAAUGCUGAGAAGUACCGCAGUUGGAUAAAUGCCCAAGUAGAGUCAGCGGAGGGAGAAGUUCUUACGGCCGAGCAAAAGGAAGAGAGGUCAUUGAUUAAUGAGCCAAUAAAGGAGGAAGAAGCUACUAAAUUCUUGAGAUUUUUGAAGCACAGUGAGUAUAGCGUGGUAGAGCAGCUGCAUAAACAGCCAGCUCGUAUAUCUGUGUUGGCCUUGCUCAUGAGUUCAGAGGUGCAUCGAAAUGCGUUGAUGAAGGCGUUAAAUGAAGCAUACGUGGCAAAUGAUAUUUCUGUCAACCAAUUGGAUCGGUUGGUUAAUAAUAUAAGUACUAGUAGUUUUAUCUUCUUCAACGAUGACGAAAUACCAUCUAGAGGUAUGAGGUCCACUAAAGCUUUGUACAUUACUGCUCGGUGUAAAGGAAGCUUUGUACUGGCGAUAAAAUGCAUGCACCUCCUUCACCUCUUCAUGUUAUGACUUCUCCAUGGCCUUUCUCUAUGUGGGGUAUGGACGUCAUUGGGCCAGUAUCGCCAAAGGCUUCUAAUAGGCAUCGCUUCAUCUUUGUGGUUAUUGACUACUUUACCAAAUAGGUGGAAGCUGCUUCAUAUGCAAAUGUCACGAAGUCAACAGUUAGUAGAUUCUUGAAAAAGGAAAUCAUAUGUCGAUAUGGAAUGCUUGAGAGGAUCAUAUUUGAUAAUGCGCUGAAUUUGAACAAUAGUGCAAUAGCGGAGGUCUGCAGUCAAUUCGAGAUCAGACAUCAUAACUUGUCGCCAUACCGCCCAAAGAUGAAUGGUGCAGUAGAAACAGCCAAUAAGAAUAUUAAAAAAAUUGUGAGAAAGAUGAUUGAGACUUACAAGGAUUGGCAUGAGAAAUUACCGUUCGCUCUCUUUGCUUAUAGAACGUCUGUUAGGACGUCGACUGGGGCAACACCUUUCUCUUUGGUUUAUGACAUGGAAGCAGUUUUACCUAUUGAAAUAGAAAUUCCUUCUCUCCAAGUAUUAUCUGAGUUGAAAUUGGAUGAGGCAGAGUGGGUUCAAUCUCGUUAUGAUCAAUUGAACUUAAUAGAAGAGAAAAGGCAAAAGGUUGUUCGGCAUGGUCAGAUGUAUCAAAAGUGGAUGAUGCGAGCCUACAACAAAAAGGUUCGUCCCAGAGAAUUUAAUGAGGGGGAGCUGAUGUUGAAGAAGAUUCUUCCUAUACAAAAGGAUUUUAGAGGAAAAUAGAUGCCAAAUUGGGAAGGUUCAUAUGUUGUAAAGAAAGCCUUUUCAGGAGAAGCUUUGAUUUUGAGUGAGAUGGAUGGCAAAGAUUUGCCAAACCCUGUAAACUCAGAUAAGGUUAAGAAAUACUUUUCUUAAAAAAAAGAAGAAAAAAUGGGAGAGGCCAAGGUGAAAACCAGCAAAGGGCACUUUGAGACCAAAGGGGAUUUGAGUUGAAAACCCGAAAAAGGGUGGCUCAAAUGUUGAUCAAGUGGCGUAUCCGGUGAUCUUGCAAUGAUUGAAUCAGUGGGAAAGGGGACGCAACAUCUUGGGGCAUCGACAGAGUGCUGUAGAUCUUCUAAGUACAUGUCGGAUUCAGAGUGGUCUUCAGGAAGUUUGCGCAGAGAAGUUCAAACUGCGAUAUCUGGGGCACCUAGUCUUCUCAGUAUUUAUAUUUUGGAAUACUUUAUUCCUUUUCAAGAUUCAUGUUUCCAAUCCAUUCAUCUUUUCUUCUUACUAUUCUUUAUAAUCUACUCAUCUUGAGCUUUAUUCUCAAUGAAUUUCAUCUUGUCCAUUUCGAUAGUCUUGUCCAAGCAUUUUUUUCAUUGGGACAAUAGGAUAAUACUACUUUUAUAAAGGAAAUUUUGCAUAUUACUUUGGAAGUUUCUAAAUAAUAUGGGAACCUGAAACAUGAUUAUUUUUUAGAACGCACCAGGCCUAAAGGUUGAAUAUCUAAGAGGGAAAAGUCUAAAUUAAGACUAUCCCUUCAUAUUUUGUUGUCAAAAACAUUGACUGAACAAAAUGGCAAGAUGUCGUGUUGGUGACAAAGCUUCAAAGAACAAACAAGCAAUGAUCACCGAGUAUUAACAAGAAGUUGUUCUUGGAGAAGAAAAUGCUUCAUUUGUGCAUGAGCAUUUGGUAUGACACCCUGGGAAUGGUGUAAGAGACCAAAGAGUUUCAUAUCCUGUAUCCUUGAAUUGAGAUAACAGAGGAUUAACAAAAAACCAAAUCUUUUUACUCUUGGGUUACAAUAGGAGAAAGAUGGUACAAAUUUUGUAUCCCGGUGGAUCAAACUUGGAGAUUUAUAGUGGGGGCAAUCUAAUCAAGUGUUCCUUUGGAGACGCAAGCUGAGUGAAAAGGCGCUAUAGCAUACUAGCGAUAAAACUUUAAUAGACUUUGAGUAAUGAUAACCUAAGUGAUAAAGAGGGAUUAUUCUUGAAAAAAUAAUAUUUUACAUUCAUUCAAAUGUCAUUUAUAUAUGUCUAGUUAGGAGCAUGUGAUUCAUUUUGGUAAUGACAUCCUAAUCGUUAGGCAUAAUUAGGUUCAUAAAUUGAAUUAUACAGGUCAUGUUCCCCAGAGAACAAACCGGUGAAGCUUCAGCCUUAUCUCCCUGAGCAGUAGUGGAGUAGGUUGGAAAUGGUAGAUCUUGCCUUCCUGUACUGGUAGCGAAGCAGAUCGAAGGCACCAGUCUUAUCGCCUUGACGUGCAAUGGAAUUGAUUGAAGCCAUAUCGGCGAAUUUUAUUUCCCUAGCGUUGUAGCAGAGCAAAUUGAAGCCACAACGGCGAAUCUUAUCUCCCUGGCAUUAAAGCUUGGAUUAGUUAAGGUAGAGCGGAUUGAGGCUGUGGGCAGCGAAUCCUAUCUCUUUGGCAUUACAGUGGAACGGAUUGAAGCCACAACGACGAAUCUUGUUUCCCUGGCAGUGUUGUGGAACAGAUUGAAGCUACGACGGCGGAUUUGGUUUCCCCGACAUUGCAGUUAAAAAGAUUGAAGCCACAACGGCAGAUCUUACUUCCCUGGCGGUGUAGUGGAACAGAUUGAAGCUACGACGGCGGAUCUGGUUUCCCCGACAUUGCAAUUUAAAAGAUUGAAGCCACAACGACGAAUCUUACCUCCCUGGCGGUGUAGUGGAAUAGAUUGAAGUCGCGACGGUGAAUCUUGUUUCCCUGACAUUGUAGUUAAACAAAUUGAAGUAAAUAAUCCUAUCUCCCUGAAGUUGCGGUGGAGCGGAUCAAAAUGAUAGAUCUCAUCUCUCUGAUGUUGUAGUAGAGCAGAUUGUAUCAGACUCAUCUUUAAAGUUGCAGUGGAAUAAGUUGAAAUGACAGAUCUUAUCUCUCUGAAGUUGCAGUAGAGCAGAUCACAUCAAACUUAUUUUUAAAAUUGCAGUAGAAUAAGUUGAAGCUACAAGUCUUAUCUCCCUGAAAUUGAAGUGGAGCAGACUAAAGAUAGUAAAUUUUAUUCUUUUGAGAAGUUACAAGAUACAAGUCCUAUCUCCCUGACGUUGUAGUGGAGGGGAUCGAAACACAAAUUCCUAUAACUUUGAAGACGCAGUAGGUUGGAAUGAGGCUACAAGAAGAAGAAGUGUACCAAAGUCUUGCAUGACUGGGCAAAAUUGGUUAUCUUUAAAGUCUUUGCUAUGUUCCCAUUACAUGACAACGAGCAAAGAGGGGCAGCUGUAAUACCCAAUUGUUGCCCGGGGCCUAAAUUAACCAAUCAAACCCAAUAAAACUUAGGCCAAUCCUGACCCAAUUACAUUUGGCCCAACAAGGCCCAAGUGUGCAAACCUUAGCAAUGCUCUAAACAGCAGUUGACAGCAAUCACCCCACGCCGCAGCAACCGUUCUACUGCACACGUCACCCCGCACAACGCACGUACCUACAAAUCACGAAUAGCACUAAGAGGAUAUACACAGCAGAAUUGUAAAAAGGGGGAUUUCGGUUGUAUAAAAGGGGAGUCGAUUGAUGUAAAAAGGGUUAGCAAAUUUUUGUAUUGGAAAAAAAUUAAAAAGGAAAAUACAAGGGAGAAAAACAUUUUUUUUGAAGGUGACAAAUUUUGGCUUUGUUUCUUCUGUUCUUUUUACUGUUUUUAUUUUAUUUUGUUUGUUUUUCUUAUGUUACUUAAAACAAAAAAAAUAAACGAAGAAAAGAAGGAAAUGAAGACUUAUGGUUGAAAGAGUCGUUGGGCGUCCUCUUUUCGCCGUUAUCUGGUCGGAAAAGGGAGGACACUGGAAUGGCAGAGGGAGUGCAACAGCGUGAUUGAAAAAUGGCAGAGGAGAGUUUUUUUUAGGGAU